GGUUCUAUGGCGCAAUCGGUUAGCGCGUCCGGCUGUUAUCCUGUCCUGCAAGAUAGAUGGGUUGCAACCGGGAGGUUGGAAGUUCGAGUCUUCCUAGUACCG